ACUCCUACGGGAGGCAGCAGUGGGGAAUCUUGCGCAAUGGGCGAAAGCCUGACGCAGCAACGCCGCGUGUGUGAUGAAGGUCUUCGGAUCGUAAAGCACUGUCGCGAGGGACGAAUAAGGGCCGGAAUAACAAGCCGGUUCGAUGACGGUACCUCGAAAGGAAGCACCGGCUAACUCUGUGCCAGCAGCCGCGGUAAUACAGAGGGUGCGAGCGUUGUUCGGAAUUAUUGGGCGUAAAGCGCGUGUAGGCGGCUUUGUAAGUCAGGUGUGAAAGCCCUCGGCUUAACCGAGGAAGUGCGCCUGAAACUGCAGAGCUUGAGUACCGGAGAGGGCGGUGGAAUUCCCGGUGUAGAGGUGAAAUUCGUAGAUAUCGGGAGGAACACCAGCGGCGAAGGCGACCGCCUGGACGGCUACUGACGCUGAGACGCGAAAGCGUGGGGAGCAAACAGGAUUAGAUACCCUGGUAGUCCACGCUGUAAACGAUGAGCGCUAGGUGUUGUGGGUGUUGACCCCUGCAGUGCCGCAGCUAACGCAUUAAGCGCUCCGCCUGGGAAGUACGGCCGCAAGGCUAAAACUCAAAUGAAUUGACGG
rnacentral:rRNA from 1 species